GUUACAGUGUGUCAGUUACAGUGUGUCAGUUACAGUGUGUCAGUGUUACAGUGUGUCAGUUACAGUGUGUCAGUGUUACAGUGUGUCAGUUACAGUGUGUCAGUGUUACAGUGUGUCAGUUACAGUGUGUCAGUGUUACAGUGUGUCAGUUACAGUGUGUCAGUGUUACAGUGUGUCAGUGUUACAAUGUGUCAGUUACAGUGUGUCAUUUACAGUGUGUCAGUGUUACAGUGUGUCAGUUACAGUGUGUCAGUGUUACAGUGUGUCAGUGUUACAGUGUGUCAGUUACAGUGUGUCAGUUACAGUGUGUCAGUGUUACAGUGUGUCAGUGUUACAAUGUGUCAGUUACAGUGUGUCAGUUACUGUGUGUCAGUUACAGUGUGUCAGUGUUACAGUGUGUCAGUUACAGUGUGUCAGUUACAGUGUGUCAGUGUUACAGUGUGUCAGUGUUACAGUGUGUCAGUUACAGUGUGUCAGUGUUACAGUGUGUCAGUGUUACAGUGUGUCAGUUACAGUGUGUCAGUGUUACAGUGUGUCAGUUACAGUGUGUCAGUGUUACAGUGUGUCAGUUACAGUGUGUCAGUUACAGUGUGUCAGUGUUACAGUGUGUCAGUG